UCAAAACACACAACUACGCACAACCCUCUGAAAAAGAAAGAAACAACAAAAUGAGUUUUGUUCGCCUGUCAGUGGCAGCUCUAUGCUGUACAAUAGUAGUGCUGGCAGGAAUAUCAGUUUCAUACGGCCAGUUAGAUCCUUCGUUUUACGAAGACACAUGUCCAAAGUUGCAGGCGAUUGUUCUAGAGGUUGUUCAUAAUGCUUUAAGAUCCGAUCGUCGUAUUGGGGCCAGUCUCAUCAGGCUUCACUUUCAUGAUUGCUUCGUCCAAGGUUGUGAUGCAUCAAUAUUAUUGAACAAGACGGAUACGAUAGACAGCGAGCAAGAUGCUUUUCCAAAUGUGAACUCAAUAAGAGGAUUGGAUGUUGUCAACAACAUCAAAUCUGCAGUUGAAGCUGCUUGCCCUGCCACAGUCUCGUGUGCUGAUAUUCUUGCCCUUGCUGCUGAAGUUUCUGUUGUUUUGGCGGGUGGUCGGGGAUGGAGAGUUCCGCUGGGAAGAAGGGACAGCACAACGGCCAACCGAGGACUGGCCAAUGCUAACCUUCCUCCUCCCUUCUUCAACUUGGAUAAACUCAAAGCCUCCUUCGCUGCUCAGGGCCUCAACACUACUGAUCUCGUUGCUCUCUCUGGUGCUCACACAUUUGGAAGAUCACACUGCCGCAAUUUUGUGGACAGAUUAUGCAAUUUCAGUGGCACAGGUCAGCCUGAUCCGACUCUCAACCCAUGGUACCUUCAAAAGCUGCGUGUAAUAUGCCCUCAGGAUGGAGAUGGCAACAACUUGACCAAUCUGGACCUGACCACUCCUGACAAGUUUGACAAGAACUAUUACACCAACCUUCACUUUCACGCUGGCCUACUCAACAGCGACCAAGUCUUGUUCUCUACUUUCGGUGCCGAUACCAUCCCCAUUGUCAAUAGCUUCGCCAGAGACACAGCCCCAUCAUGAAUAUCUAUGUAGGCUUCUUGUGUGUGUCCCAUGUAGCGGUCCUUUGGUAUGGGUACACCUAUUUAUAUGCUCAGAGCUCUUUCCAACUCCUUUCUACGUGUGACACAACAAUAAGCUCUUCCCUACAUAAGAAAUAUCCCUUGACAGCAUGAUGGAGCUUCCGUAAUCAGCUUGAAGACUUGUUAGUGUGUGUUUUCUUUUCCGUGCUUCUCUAGCAAGCAUGAUGCUGAAAAUUUAAUUUGCUUUUUGACAAGGAAUUAGGUGAUGUAACAGCUCAGUACGAAAAGAGUUUGAAAGUUGUUAAAUUUGACCCA